CAGCUAUGAAGUUGCAAAGAUUUGUAGUGAUGAUUUUCUUGAUGGUAGUAUUCCAGAUAGUUACAGUGGACGGAAUGAUGGAAGGCAGUGGAGGCUUCUUUUUGCCAAAUACUGGAAUGGGGUCAUUGCAGGAAAUUCUACCAGAGACAGAUAGGCCUGCUGAAGAUUUCCCUAUGAAUAGAUCAACACAGGUGAGUAUUACAGUUUUGCAUGUUCAUGAUUUUAUAUCAGGAUUAUUGAAACAAUGAAACUUGAUGGAAUAAUUUGCUAUUUUGCAAAAAUGGCGUAGACAUUAAUGCAAAAAUAACUUAUUUCAUUAAACAAUUGUGAUAUCAUCCUGAUAUAUUUCAAAAACCAUAGUCCAAAUAAAUCGUACAUUGAUA